AUGUGUGCCUCGCACGGCUCCGCCCGCUUCCCUCCCGCUUCCUGCUUCUCCAAGCACUGCGUCAAGUUCCCGGGAAGAACCCAAACGCGCCUCUGGUCCCCAGGGUGGGGCUUAUUUGUCAUCUUUCUAAGUGGAAAACAAUGUGCAAUGGCUUGGAGAUGCGACGUGGCAGCAGGGGCGGGAACCGGAGGAGCCCAUGCAGGGAGUGCGGCGCGCCGUGGUUUUCUUUUUUUUUUUAAUUUAUUUGACAGAGUUACAGACAGUGAGAGGAAGAGACAGAGAGAAAGCUCUUCCUUCCAUUGGUUCACUCCCCAAAUGGCUGCCACGGCCAGAGCUACGCUGAUCCAAUGGCAGGAGCCAGGUGCUUCUCCUGGUCUCCCAUGGGGUGCAGGGCCCAAGCACUCGGGCCAUCCUCCACUGCACUCAUUCCUUCCCCCUCCCUCCUCCCUUCGCCCUUCCCCCCUCCAUCCCUGCCUCCCUCCCCCUCCCUCCCCUUUAGACAGAGGCCAUCUUCCUGGUCUACCACAAUCCCCCCUCCCCGUGGCUGCGUUUGCCCUGAGCAGCCCCUGGGGCUCUCCCCGCGGCUGUGGCAUGGUGAGCUCUGUGCCCUGGUGCGCGGCAGGCGGUGGCUCUGUGUUUCAGGAGCAGGAGUUCUUGGUGCAGCUCGGGGAAGCCAGUGGGGAACGGGAGGCUCCACGGCCUCACCAGGACUCAGCGUCCGGCCACGGCGGGCUAUCCUGGCACCCCGGCCUGCAGGAGGAGAUCAGGCGGCCUGAGGCUGUGUCUGCCUUGGAUGGCGACUCCGUGACCUGGGGGACGAGGGUGGCGUCCAGGCCUCAGCGGAGGUCCAGCCCCAGAUGCUGGAGUUCCGCGGGGACAGACACUCAGCCCGGGGACUGGGCAAGGACACGGGCUCGGUGCGGUGCGGGCGCCGGGGCUGCACAGCCCUGGAGCGAGCGUGCCAGGCUGGCCCUGAACGACACGUGGUCGGGGGCGGUGGCAGGAGGGAGGGGCGGCCCCUGGAGGGCAGGCUUCCGGGGGGGAGGGCUGUGCAGCCAGAGGCCGGGAGAGCCACGCGGACAAAGUCCUGAUCGUCGUGGACACCUUGAAGCCAAGGCUGACUCCUGA
rnacentral:lncRNA from 1 species